rnacentral:rRNA from 1 species
AGAGUUUGAUCAUGGCUCAGGACGAACGCUGGCGGCGUGCUUAAUACAUGCAAGUCGAGCGAGGUUACUGUUUUGGAUCCCUUCGGGGUGAAGAAGCUUUAACCUAGCGGCGGACGGGUGAGUAACGCGUGGGUAACCUACCCCAAAGUCCGGGAUAACAGCGGGAAACCGCUGCUAAUACCGGAUGCCUUUACCUUGGGGCAUCUUGAGGUAAAGAAAGGUAACGCUUUGGGAUGGGCCCGCGUCCCAUUAGCUAGUUGGUGAGGUAACGGCUCACCAAGGCGACGAUGGGUAGCCGGCCUGAGAGGGUGGACGGCCACACUGGGACUGAGACACGGCCCAGACUCCUACGGGAGGCAGCAGUAGGGAAUAUUGCGCAAUGGACGGAAGUCUGACGCAGCGACGCCGCGUGAGCGAUGAAGGUCUUCGGAUCGUAAAGCUCUGUCCUUGGGGAAGAAGGCGAAAGCUUGACGGUACCCAAGAAGAAAGCCCCGGCUAACUACGUGCCAGCAGCCGCGGUAAU